UGUGGUUCUACUUUUUUGUUCCUAUUAAUAAUGCUGAAGUAAAUAUACACAUGUUUACAGCAAUGUUUUCCAAACCAUGAAUUUUGUCCAACUAGAGGUGAAUCACCUUUGCAAAAUUAUGACUGACACAGUGAAAGAGAUCUAACUUAACUGACUCCAUCUUGCUUCUAACCUCCAAGCUGUCCUUGUUCAUUCCUGGGAGUAGGAUGAACUAACUGUGGGAGAAACUUAGUAUAUACUUUAUAGUUUAAAACAAAGACGAGUCCGGGUGUGGUUGCUCACGCCUGUAAUCCCAGCGCUUUGGGAGGCCUAGGCGGGUGGAUCACUUGAGGUCAGGAGUUUGAGACCAGCCUGGCCAAUAUAGUGAAACCCCGUCUCUACUAAAAAUAAAAAAAUUAGCCAGGCACGAUGGUGCAUGCCUGUAAUCUCAGCUACUCAGGAGGCUGAGGCAGGAGAAUCGCUUGAACCCGGGAGGCAGAGGUUGCAGUGAGCCAAGGUUGCACCACUGCACUCCAGCCUGGGUGACAGAGUGCGACUCUGUCUCAAAACAAACAAACAAACAAAACAAAAAACAAAAAAGCAAAAACAAAAACACAAAAAAAGCAAAGACUAUAACGGCCCUUUCCCAAGGCAGACCUCCUUCUUGCUUGAGAACUAGACUGCCUUUGUAGGACUAACAUUAGCCAUAAGAUUAGAAAUUAUGGUUUAGGAGUCAUGCAACUGGAGCUACCAGAUUCUGACCCUCCCUAAACUGCUCCUAAGAUCAGUGCUUGAGAUAUUUUGCAGACCCUGCGCUUGAUGGAUCAGCUGGCACCACCCAGAUCACUCAUCUGAUCUUGUGGCCCCCACCCAGGAACCAAAUAAGGGCAAGAAGACAGCUCCAACUCCCUAUGAUUUCAUCCCUGACCAAUCAGCACUCCUGGCUUCUUGGCUUCCCCUCACCCACCAAGUUGUCCUUAAAAACUCUGCUCCCAGAAUGCUCUGGGAGACUUGAGUAAUAACAAAAUUUGGAGUAAUAACAAAUUUUUUUUUUAAAUGGAGAUUUGAGUAAUAACAAAAUUCUGGUCUCCUGCACAGCUGGCUCUGCGUGAAUUACUCUUCGUCUAUUGUAAUUCCCCUGUCUUGAGAAAUCGGCUCUGUCUAGGCAGUGGACAAGGUGAACCCACUGGAUGAUUACAGAUGGUUGAGACCCAUUAAUAAAUAAUAAAAUUCCUACAGUAUAUUGAGACAAACAUCUUUUUGAAGAGCUCAAUGGAAUAGAAUACAAUACAAAAUUUCAAGGUGUACCAGACAUACAAAGCCAUGAGAUGCAUUCCACCAUAUUAUGACAGCAUGAAGCCCCUAGCAAGAUGCAGGCCCCACCAUCUUGGACUUCCCAGCCUCCAAAACAGUGAAAAAUACCUUUUUUCCUUCAUAAAUUACCUGGUGAUUGGUAUUCUGUUAUAGCACACAACAGACUAAGACACAGCAUUAGGUCAUUCUUUUAUUGUUUCUUUUCCUCUCUGUGUGUUUCAUUUUGGGUCAUUUUUAUGGCCAUGUCUUCAAGUUCCCGUAUAUUUUUUCCACAGUUUCUAAUAUGUUGUUAAUCUUCCUUAGUUAUUUUAAAUGUUUUAUUUUCUAAUCACUAGAGGUUCCAUUUGAUGGAUUUUUU
rnacentral:lncRNA from 10 species